rnacentral:lncRNA from 1 species
UUUACCUCUGUUGCGAGUAAAUUAUUGGAAGAGGUUUUACCCCACAGGAUCUAACUGACCUGUGAAAAAAAACCAAAGGGAAAGUCAUUGACAGUAACUCUAUAAAAUUCUAAGCAGUGAUUAAAGUGUUUAUCUCCAGAAGUACAUGCCAGGCCUCUAAUGUUAUCUGAGGUCAUGCUGGCUUGACAGUGUCAUAAAUCUGAACAUAGAGCCCCACCCAUGAAGUUAUCUGAGGUGGUGGCUAACACAACAUGGGAAUCACUUCAGACAGCUGGAGCUGCUGUUGUGUUCCUUUAGGUCUUAUAAGUAGUUUGACCUUUAAAUAUUGUGUUGUUUGGUUGAGGCAUGCCACUGUCAGCUUCAUGGUUUUGCUCUGUUCUGAGGUAUCGCAGGAGGUUUCACCCCACAGGUUCUAACUGACCUGUGAAAAAACUAAAACCAGAGGGUAAGUCAGUGAAAGGGGAGGUUUGUUGUACAUAGUUCUUACUAACAAUAAAAUGAUUGUUCAUCAUUUGGAGUACCAACCAGACCUGUGAAGUUAUCUGAAGUCAUGGUGGCUUGACAAUGCCAGAAAUUCAAAUGUCGAGCCCCACCCAUGAGGUCAUCUGAGGUGGUGGCUAACAGAACAUGGGAAUCACUUCAGGAAACUGAAGCUGACUGUUGUGUUCCUUUAGGUCUUAUAAGUACAUGUACUUUGACCUUUAAACAUUGUGUUGUUUGGUUUAGGCAUGCCAUUGUCAGCUUCACAGUUUUGCUCUGUUGCAAGUAAUCGCAGGAGGUUUCACCCGGCAGGUUCUAAAUGACCUGUGAAAAAACUUAAACCUGAUGAGAAGCCAGUGAAAGGUUCUAACUGACCUGUGAAAAAACUUAAACCAGAUGAGAAGCCAGUCAAAGCUUCAAGACCCAUUCACAUACCUGGCUUGACCUUAUCUUGGGCCAUUUCCAUAAGCUCCAUUUGGAAGAUAUGGGCUACACUAGUCGUAAUAUGGUCAGUUGAAAAGGACUAUGGAACCAGGCCACAUAAUUGUUGUGCAGUUGUGUUGGAUCAGUGGGUCUGUUUUAAGUGCCAAGUUUGCAGGUAGGUCAGCUUACCUUCUUAAUGAAUUUUAAACAUCGCAAUGUAUCCUAUUAUAUUCAUAUUGGUAGUUAUUGCAAUAUACAGAUACAUGUAAUGUACGUCUACUGGAAUCUCUUGCUGCAUCUUGCUGAUGAAGCAUUUGAAAUGCCCUGUUAAAGACCAAAAUGGCCAAAAUCGAUACCCUACUUAUGACCAAAA